rnacentral:rRNA from 1 species
UACGUAGGGGGCAAGCGUUGUCCGGAUUUAUUGGGCGUAAAGCGCUCGCAGGUGGUUCGUCGCGUCGUGCGUGAAAGCCCCCGGCUUAACUGGGGAGGGUCAUUCGAUACUGCUCGGCUCGAAGACAGGAGAGGGAAGCGGAAUUCCCGGUGUAGUGGUGAAAUGCGUAGAUAUCGGGAGGAACACCAGUGGCGAAGGCGGCUUUCUGGCCUGUUCUUGACGCUGAGGCGCGAAAGCUAGGGGAGCAAACGGG